UGCCUCAGCCUCCCGAGUAGCUGGGAUUACAGGAGAACUCCAGGGUGACAUUGGAGCCGCAAAAUGGAAGAAGCUUGGGAUUCUGAAUCACUACUGAAAAGGGAAUCACCCAGCAUGCACUAGAUCAUAAGACAUGCAGUGUCUCUCCAUUCUCUCGUCAGCACACAGGAAUCUGGCGCCCUCACAAGUUCACACAACAGAAAAACAGCAGGAACAAAAUGACUUUCAACCAAGACCAAAGGACAAAGUGAGGGGCGGCAAGAUCCCAGCAGGAAGGGCAACAGGGUCUAGAAGAGAGUGAAAUUCUUAUGAGGAGAGUUGAAUUUUAGGGUAGAGAGUUUCUGAGGGACAAACGGAAGGUCUACUCUUGGGAAGCCCCAGAAGUUUGGAAGGAAGGACGGCCAGGCUUUGAGAGCUGUAUCUGAACUUUUGAGAUUGCUCUGCUUCCCAGAGGCAGCGGGGUAACUGUCCUACUGUUCAGUAAUCAAUCUUUAUGGGAAGAGUCUUUCUUCUGCACUAGAAAAAUUGAAAUGCCCCCCAGAAAAAGAAUUGGAAACUUUUCUUUCCUCUCUGUAAAAGCCUGAUAAUCCUCUGAUAAACUUCUCUAGGCAAAGAGAAAAAAACUUCCCCAGGCAAAGAGAACAAAAACUUCCCCAUUUCCAUUGCAUAUCAACAUUAACAACAACAUGUCAACGCGAAUGAUUUUCUAAGCCUUAGAAAGCAAUAAAAAUGUGGAGACACAGCGCAACGCCCCUGAGAUUAUAACGCUCAUAUCUUAUAGUUUUUAGCAACUAUCUGUUGUGUGUUCACACUGGAUAAUAUACAUUUUUAGACAUUCAGAAUUGACACUCUUCCUCCUUUAUGCCAGAAAAAUAGAUGGUAUUGACUCAAUGCUGUCACCUUGUGGUCAUAUAUCAUCAGUCGUCUGAACUGGAGGAUUUUUUUUUUCCUCCUUAUCUCUUAGUUUGUGAUUUCCCAGAGCAGAAGUGGUAAUUAACAUUUAUGGAGAAAGUCCUUUAUUUUUUCUGAUGAGAUAUCAGGUAUUUUCAUUAAUUUUCACAAUGCAAUGAAACAUCACCUUAUUUUCUAGUCUUGUGGGGAAUGGGGAACAGGCUGAAGGAGGAUAGAAGUCUUGCAGAAUGCCUUGGAGCCUGGCACUGUGGAGGUGAGAUUUUAGACUCAGAACUUCUGAUUCCACAUCCUCCUCUUUUCUCAGUGUACGGCAUACCCCUAGGAAAACUUGUCUGUCUGUCUUACGAGACAACAAGCUACUAAGUUGUCAUUUAUAUUUCUGGAAAUCAAAUAGAUAUUUAAAAUAUCAGAUAGAUGCUUAAAAUUCAUUCAUUCAUUCAUUCAUUCAUUCGUAAAACACAUAUUUGGCAACUACAUGCUGCCAAAGCAUUUUAUUAGGUCAUGCUGGAAAUGGAAACUAAUCACAUAAUAUCAGCUCUUUGGUAACAGCCUAGAAAAGAUGACCACAAGCAGAACUAAGACAUCCUAAGCAGCAGCAAAGAGAUCAUCAUGGCCACUGUGCAAAUUUCACAUUAUAAAAAAUGGUCACUUGGAAAUAAUUGAGCAUUGAAUUUAAAUUCUCUGUGCAGCGGCCUCAGUUCUCUAAUUUGAUGUGUGAAAGGCUGGCAAGAUAUGCAGAUGUGUCCCUUGCCCAAACCAUUUGAGCAUUUCAACUUACUUUGUUGUAGAGCUGUAUUAGUUAGGUUAAUUAAUGCUAACUGCUGCCACAGAGAAGCCCAGAAAUCUCAGUGGCUUCAUGCAAUAAAAGUUUGUUUUUCACUUGUAUCACAGUUUGAUGUGGAUUCAACAGCUGUUUUUUUAUCUUGUACCUUGUU
rnacentral:lncRNA from 1 species